GCCUGGGUGGCUCAGUCGGUUGAGCGUCCGACUUCGGCUCAGGUCAUGAUCUCACGGUCUGUGAGUUCGAGCCCCGCAUCAGGCU
rfam:Felis catus isolate Cinnamon breed Abyssinian chromosome D2, whole genome shotgun sequence.